AUUGAACGCUGGCGGCGUGCCUAAUACAUGCAAGUCGAACGCAGUGGGGACGGGUGAGUAACACGUGGGUAACCUCCCAUCAGAGGGGAUAACACUUGGAAACAGGUGCUAAACCUAUAUUGAUGGAUGGACCCGCGGUGCAUGAGCUAGUUGGUGAGGGAAAGGCUCACCAAGGCAACGAUGCCUAGCCGACGUGAGAGGGUGAUCGUCCAAACUGGGACGGAGACACGGCCCAGACUCCUACGGGAGGCAGCAGUAGGGAAGCUUCGGCAAUGGACGAAAGUCUGACCGAGCAAAGCCGCGUGAGUGAAGAAGGUUUUCGGAUCGUAAAACUCUGUUGUGAGAGAAGCGGUAUCUAACCAGAAAGCCACGGCUAAGUACGUGCCAGCCGCCGCGGUAAUAC
rnacentral:rRNA from 1 species